CUGAAGUGCUUUUACCCACUUUUCAGAACAUGAAUUUUUCCCAUGUGCUUUGGUAUUUUAUUGCACUUUAGGAAACCACAACUACAAAUUGAAAGGAAACCUGCCCUUCAGGAUGUGCAGGAAACAGUAGACUGAAAGAAACUUCUUUACCUCUGGCAACCACAAGCUGUGUUGCUUUGAUGUAGAAGAGGAAGCAUAUUGCCAGUAGAUGCAGCAAAGAAAGGACUGACCUUCAACCAAAUAUUUAAGAAACACACAGAGUUUGAUGUGCUCCACACUGCAUGAUUCAGUGCAAAGGAAGCAUACCUUCAACAGGCAGCCAUCAGGAAACAAAGAUACAGCAGCACCAGAAGGAACGCCCCCCUGUAGAAUCUGAAAGUCUGAUUCAGAUUCUAGCUUUGUUUCAGGAGCCAUUUCAAGUCUCUAUGACUAGGAAAUCAGAUUCUGGCAUCCAUUUCUGUACCUCCAAAACCUUCUGAGCCUGAAGCUGGGGAUCUUCAGCAUGGAUUUUGAAGGUCUUACAGAUGUUUGGCAGAUGCUGUGUUUGUGAUAAAACUGUAAAAUUAAUCUCAACUUUUGGAUCCUUACUAAGACAAUCUUUAAAUCUUUGGUUUGUAUCAUUAGUGGUUUAGUGUUUGUUAUGAAAGGUAAUAUAUCUGGACUCAUUUAAUCUUAACUUCCAUAUCUUCAUAUCUUUUUGCUGUGAGAGCUUCCUGUUUCAUUAUUUGAUACUCAUUACUAAUUAUGGUACAUCUUCUUUUUAAGAUUUUUUUUAAGAGGGAGAUUCUUUGACAUGUUUGUAGUGAAUUUUUGUUCUUAUUAUCUAUUGUGCUGUCUCUAGAUGAUGUCCAUGCUUUCAGUUGCUUAUUUUCAUUUCCUCACAAUACAUUUUCUUUUUUUUACAUGCACCACUGCUAAUUGGAGGUAAGCAAUAGUACUACAAAUAAUUGUAGUACUUUUCUUCGCAAAGGUUUGUUACAAAGCUAUUGCUCAAUAAUCACAGAGUCAUAGAAUGGCUUAGAUUGGAAGCGACCGUAAAUAUCACUGGGCUUCAGCUCCCCUGUCAUGGGCAGCAUGGCCAACCACUAGAUCAGGCUGCCCAGGAUUCUAUCCAACCUGACCCUGAACACCUCCAGGGACAGGGUAUCCACAGCUUCUCUGGGCAACCUGUUCUAGCUCCCCCCUCCCCUUCCCCCCCCCCACCCUCUGAACAAAUAAUUUUUUCCUAACAUCUAACGUAAACAUACUGUCUCCUAGUUUAGAGACAUUUUCCCUCAUCCUAUCACUAUCAGACCAUGUAAAAAGUUGGUACUUCUCCUGUUUCUCCCUUGUUCCAGAAAGCUGCAAUGAGUUCCUCCCAAAGCCUCUUCCUCUUCUCCAAGCUAGACAUGCCCAACUCCCUCAACCUUUCUUUCUAUUUUCUAUUCAACAAGGCCUGGACAGACUGGAGAGUUGGGCAGGGAAGAACCUGAUGAGAUU
ensembl:lncRNA